rnacentral:rRNA from 1 species
UACGUAGGGGGCGAGCGUUGUCCGGAUUUAUUGGGCGUAAAGAGCGUGUAGGCGGCCAGGUAGGUCUGCUGUGAAAACUCGAGGCUCAACCUCGAGACGUCGGCGGAAACCAUCUGGCUAGAGUCCGGAAGAGGAGAGUGGAAUUCCUGGUGUAGCGGUGAAAUGCGCAGAUAUCAGGAAGAACACCCGUGGCGAAGGCGGCUCUCUGGGACGGUACUGGCGCUGAGACGCGAAAGCGUGGGGAGCAAACAGG